rnacentral:lncRNA from 1 species
AUAAAUCCAGCGGCAUACCAUCAAUUAGAUUAUUAUUUCAUUUUUAGUGCAAGUGUCGACUACACGAGCAUUCCCUUACUCGGCAGAGCUUUCUCAAGAAAAAGGAAAUAACUACGACGGAGAAUCUUUGAUCUUCCAUAGGCGCUUUUCGGACUACACGCCAGUCUUUUUCACCAAGAGCUUGUUCCGAAAUGGGGCGCAUGGGGGAAGUACUUUGGAAUGAGUUGAUGGAACCAUGCAAACAGUGCUCAUUA